UUCCCUUUAAUCUAAGACAACGAAAUGCCACCACCUUUACUCCAAAACCCCAUUCACACUCUCCUAAAACCCCUCCUCCUCCCCCUCCUCUUCAUCUUCCCCACCACUUCCCUCACUUCUUCCACCACCACACCACCACCUCUCUCCACCACCCUAUCCCAAUGGCAAUCCGCACGCGCUACUUACUACGCAGCAUCCGAUCCCCGGGACACAGUAGGAGGUGCGUGUGGAUAUGGGGACUUAGUUAAAGCAGGAUAUGGAAUGGCAACCGUGGGAUUGAGUGAAUCAAUGUUUGAACGUGGACAGAUCUGUGGCGCGUGUUUUGAACUUAAGUGUGUUGAUGAUUUGAAGUGGUGUAUUCCUGGGACUUCUAUUAUUGUUUCUGUCACUAAUUUUUGUGCUCCAAAUUAUGGGUUCACUUCUGAUGGUGGUGGAAAAUGUAAUCCUCCUAAUAAGCAUUUUGUGCUGCCUAUUGAAGCUUUUGAAAAGAUUGCCAUUUGGAAGGCUGCUAAUAUGCCUGUUCAGUAUAGAAGGUAAAAAUCUGAAAGCCCUUUUGGAUUAUGUUGUUUUUGUAGUCAAGUUUGUAAGUUAGGCACAUAUUUAGCUCUUUAAACUCGAGUUAUGCAAGAGAAGAUGUGGUCUACUUCUGUCAAGAAUUGAAAUUUGAGUGUCUAGUUUGUUAAUUUUCAAUGAAUUUGUCUUCUGUUACUUGAAUCAUUCUUGCUAACAUGCACUGAUACUGAAAUUUACCAAUUGAAGAGAAGAGAGUCACCGGCUAAAUUUAGCUCUUCCAUGUGAGUGAUUGUUUGUCUUUGUUAGUCUAUUUUUUCUUUCAAAUUUUGUUUCUUUCAGCCUCAGUUCCUUUCAGGAUCCAUUACACUAUCAUUCUGAGUUAUUUUACCGAGCUCCAUUUUUCUAAAUUACGGACACCCUGCUUUAUGCUUUUUGUAGCUUGCCUUUGAAAGAUUAAACUUUAUGAGUUGUUGAUUGUUAGAAACAGGAAAGUUUCUUGUGAUAAAAAAAUAAGUGCUUGGUGUAAUUUUUAGCAAUUUGGCAAGGAGACCAGGGAUGGGGCAAUCUAAAUUUAUUGCUUUGUGUGUCCUGGCCAGUGCUAAUGUGCACCCAGUCUCUUGCUAACUUAUAUCAUGGGAUUAUUUGUGGGGCUGUUAUCAAGAGAACACUGUUUUGGCUUUGAAAAUUCAAAGGGGUUUUUACCCUACACUUUUGGCUCAUUGCUCGAUGGGAAAUAUAAAUAAUGCAUGAUGGGAGACAGCCCACUCUCUCGUCCCAAUCCUGCAUCAAAAGAAGUAAAAUUUCCACUAAUCACUAGUAUAUGAUAGUGACAGUUCAUUUGCUAAAUAUCUCUUCGUAUCGUUAACUGGCAAUUGCUUUGAAAGUAUUUCUGUUAUUUUGACUGCUAGAGCAAAAACAAGAACAUUGUAGUUAUGUAUACUCGAAUUACUCCAGAAAUAAGUAGACUUUCCCUUCUUUUUAUGAUGCCAAUGGAUAUCAGCAUUUCAUCUGAAAUUUGAAUGCAGAUUCUUGAAGUUUUCUGUCGCUGUUUUCAAAUGUUUUUUUUUUUUUGCUUAUCCUUGACCUGUGAUCAUGUUGGAACAGGAUUAAAUGCAGAAAGGAAGGAGGGAUUCGGUUUGCUAUCUCUGGGUCCGGUAUUUUCCUCUCGGUGCUGAUCAGCAAUGUUGCAGGUGCUGGAGAUGUCACUGCAGUGAAGAUUAAAGGUUCAAGAACAGGCUGGCUUGAUAUGGGCAGGAAUUGGGGCCAGAACUGGCAUGUUAAUGCCAAUUUACAGAAUCAAGCUCUCUCGUUUGAGGUCACUAGUAGUGAUAGGAUGACUGUAAUAUCUUACAAUGUAGCUCCCAAAGAUUGGAGAUUUGGACAGGCCUUUGAGGGCAAGCAAUUUGAGACUCAAAUGUACUAGCAAGAAGAUAAGAUGGUACAUGGAUGAGACCAUUCUUUUCCUUUUCUUUCUUGAUUUGCUCCUGACAUGGGUGGAAGGCGUGUGGAGUGGUGGGUUUUGUCAGUUCUGGUGAAGAUGUAUGUAUCUAUGGUUUUAUCUACGAUCCAAAGGACUUAGUUUGAGAAGAUAGUAAAUUGAUAAAUUUAUUUAUCAAUCCUGCCUUUUCCACGAGUUACUUUAUCAUCGGAGGUUUUUAUUUAUUUAUUUAAAUAUUCCAAAGAAGAAGCUCGAACUAUAUACCUUUCUAAGAAAAUAUUGUUAUUAAACUAGUCUAGUUAAUAUUGUUAUCCAAAAAAAUUUAGGAAUUAAUCGAUUAGAUUUAAUAGUUAAUAAGGUGAAAUUUAGUUUGAAUUCUUUUAAAAUGAUGCUAUAUAAAAUUGAUUUAAGUUAACUUGUUUAAUUUGUAAUUUAGUUUUUUGGCUACCAUGUUUAAUAAAUUUGUUUUAAAGAAUAUUUAGAGUGCAGUAGUGUUAUUUUUUAAAAUAAUUUAAAAAUACAUUAAAAUAUAUAUAUAUAUAUAUAUAUAUAUAUUUUUUUUUUUUCGCUGCUGGACUGGAUUUUAUGGAGUAACAAAUUGCAAGGUAUGGCUAGAACUUGGGGUUCGGGUAGCUGGAAAGGCCUUGACUGGGUGGUAGUGAUCCACUAAAAGUGAGGGUGGAGAGCCCAAGACUAGUCAUUUGGUGACGAUGUUAUUGCAAGUUGGAUGGCAUGUAGUUUGAGUCCACUAGAAAAAAAGCUUCUUUUAUGAACGGCAAAGGCAUCUUUUUGUAGCAAAUUGUUGUUUUACCCUUUGUGUUUUAGAUUUGGUCAAUGGACACCCACAAAGCUCAAUAAUUUCCCUCGUUUGGGGCUGAAUUCACUUUAUAGAAAUACAAGAAUUAACUUUUUUUUUUUUGAAAAAAGAUCUAAGAAAUGACUUUUAAUAAACCGACCAUUUUUUAAUACAUGUGUACACACAUCCUAAUUCCUUUUUAAUUAAAUGAGGGUAAAUAAUCAAUAUUAUAUUGAUUUUUAUAUAAAUCAAACAUGUUUAAAACAUUUAAAGUAAAGCGACUAAUUACCAUAAACAUAAGAGAUAAAGAGAUAUUUUUAUCUCUAUAAAAAAUACUUAAUUAAAAUUGAGGUUCAUGAUGUUACAUGUAUAUUUUUUUAAAAUAAAUUAAAAGAGAUGGUGAAUUUAUUGUUUCUUAGACAUAUUCCAUCGUGGAUGGGAACAAUGAAUUUAUCACUUUAUCCUUAUAAAAAAAUCUUUCGGCUAGAGGUUAAGGCCAUGAUUAUCUUUUCAAUGGGAGCAUUUUGACAUUUUAAAUUGACCGAGGGGAAGACAAGUAUUUACUUUAAGCUUUGUGUUUUUUUAUAUGCUUUCUAUAUCAUUUUUUUUAUUUGGUUGGGUUAUCUGGGGUCUUUUUAUGUUUUGUUCUUUGUUAAAUAUAUUUUUUCACAUUUUUUUUAAUUAAAUAAAAAUGAUUGAUUGAAUAUAGACGAAUACUCACUUUAUUGUGUUUUGUUCAAUUUGCUUUUACUUGGCAUUGCUCUAGUGAACCACCAACCUUUUUUGAUGUCGUCUUGCAUCCUUUCACAGUGGAGUUUGAACCAACUCAGUAAGCUUUUUUGGUUGUAGGUGAUGUUCAUGGUUGAGUGGUGGUGAGCGUCCAACUAUCUUUUUUUUAUUAUUGUAAUGUGCUUUUUUACUAUUCAUUUUUUAUUUUUACCUUUGAUUUAAAUUAGAUUAUUAAAUUAAUCGUUCUUAUUGGAUAUAAUCAAGUAAAUGACUCGAGUAUCAAAUUCUUCUUGCUUAUUUCAAAACACUAUCGGACCGUGGCAUAACAUGGUUCCUAGUCUAGUACAAUCUAAUAUUGUUAAAUUUAGCCAUUAACUUAAAGUAUAUUGAUACGUGUAUCUUGUAUCUAAAUAAUUAGAAAACUAGAUUAGUUGUCCGCGUUAUGCUGUAGUCAUAUCAAUUUUUUUAAUAUAAAAAAAUAUUCAAGUGUUGCUAAGGUGUUUUCCAAUAAAAUAUUUUAAUCAUAAACUUAAAAUAUGAUACAUGGUGGACAAGAUCUUUUUUUAAAUAUUGAUAUGACAAUAUAUUGGAUGUCGUUUUUUUUUCAAAUAAUAAGAUGAUGACAUAUUUGAUCGACCUUGUUAAUAUGUCAAAUCUACAUCUCGGAUUACGAGAUCAUGAUAACUUUAUAGAAAAGUGGAUAGAAAAGUUACAAAUAAAAUAUACCCUUUUCUUUCCUUUCUUUUUAAUUUUAAUAUCCUUUUUUCUGAUUGCUUUAUUAAUUUAUCAUUCAUGUGCUCUAUUUCUUUUCAUACAAUUUCAACCAAUCAAUGUUUCAAUUGGCUUGAGAUAAAGGGUAAUCCAUAUUUUUGUCAUAGGGGAUUGACCAAAAAAAGAUUUGGGUCAUUGAGUUAUUCACUUAACUUAACUUAAUUUACUUACGAGUUAUUGAAUUAAUCUGAGUGAAUUAUUUUUAUUAAAAGAAUGUUGUUUCAAAUCAAGUUUGAAUAGGAUUUCAUCAUGUUAAUAAACUUGAUUAUGUUAAUAAAUUUUACUAAGUUAAUACUUUUUCAAUUUAAUUUGAAAUCUGAUCCGUUAAUAAGUUUUACUAAGUUUUAACAAAUUUAAAUUUGUUCUAAUUUCUACAUUUCAUUAAGUUUUAAUGAUGGAGUUACAUCAUGUGUUGUAUCUUCUAAUCUAAUUUGAAAAUUAGCCCCACAGUAUUUAUAAUAAUUUAUAAUCUGCAAGACAGCAGCAAUAUGUCACUCGUUCCUCCACCACCAAACCGUCAAGGUUUUUGCCUUUUAGCCAUAUUUAUGCUCAACUUAUUGCCAAAAUAGUCCCCCAGCCAGACAACCAAGAAUCCAAGGAAACCAUCCUGUAAGGUUAGAGCCAAAAAAAAAAAAAAACCCAAAAGACUUGAUUGAUGAAUGUCUAAAUGCCCUAGAAAUUCAAUUGAUAAAAUCUUUAAUUUAGAGAUAUAGUUUAGCUAAUACAUAUAUAAUUACUAUGAGGUUAAACAGUUGAAUUUAAAUUUAAUGGAUCAUUUAUACUAUCUUAUUCAAAUCAAAUAGUUUACUAAUAGAAGAUAAUUGUAUUAAAAUAAUUUAAAAAAUUAAAAAAUAAUUUAAAAUAAAAUAAAAUAAUUUUUUUUAAAAAUAUUUUUAAAUAGCGAAAACAAAAGAACGGUGGCUGAACAACAUUGCUCAUCAGCACAGGAAAAGCAGCGAAAGGAAACUUCGGUAGCAAUCUUUAGUUUCCCGUGACCUCCUGUUAUAAAAUAAACAAAGACAACCUUAACUUCAUCAUCAAGAUAAAUCCUACCCUUUAAUCUAAGGUCAACGAAAUGCCACCACCAUUUCUCCAAAACCCCAUUCACACUCUCCUAAAACCCCUCCUCCUCCCCCUCCUCUUCAUCUUCCCCAUCACUUCCCUCACUUCUUCCACCACCACACCACCACCUCUCUCCACCACCCUAUCCCAAUGGCAAUCCGCACGCGCUACUUACUACGCAGCAUCCGAUCCCCGGAACACAGUAGGAGUUGCGUGUGGAUAUGGGGACUUAGUUAAAGCAGGAUAUGGAAUGGCAACCGUGGGAUUGAGUGAAUCAAUGUUUGAAC
rnacentral:lncRNA from 1 species